GCCAGUCAUUGGAGUGCAUUACUGUACUUCUAGCACCAAGGGAGGCUGAGGCUGGCAGAUCUCUUGAGCUCUGGAGUUUUGAGAUUUAAUGGGUUUUGACAAUCAGGUGUCUGUACUAAAUCCAGCAUCAAUAUGGUGAGCUUCUGGGAGUAGGAGGCCACCAAGUUGCCUGAAGAGGGGCAAAUUAGCCCAGGUCAACAAUGGAGUAGGUCAAAGCUCCCAUUCUGAAGAGUGGUGUGAUUGGGCCAUAAAAAGUCCCUGUUCUUCCAGCCUGGGGGAGAUGGGGAGAACCCAGGCUUGU
ensembl:misc_RNA Metazoa_SRP Metazoan signal recognition particle RNA